GAUGUACAACGACUUGUUGAGUUAAUAUAUAAAUAUAAAAGCAUAGUCGAAUGCAAGAAAACGGAUUAUUAAACUCCAUUCUUGUAGGAUGCAGCUUGGGCAAAAAUCACUGCUGAAUUUAAUUGUGCUGCUGUUGAGCAAAAAACUACUGAUCAAUUGCGCACGAAGUUAGACAACUUAAAAAAGGAGGCCAGGAAACACUUCGCGAAGGAAAAACAGGAACUAGGUAUAUAGGACAGGUGGUGGUGCUCCAGUCGUUAUAAAUAUACGGGAUGUAAUAGAGAAAUAUAUGAAAAAAUUAAAGCUAUUAUAAAUGUCUCAAUUGAGGGAAUUGCCCCCGCCAUAGGUGAUAGUGAUGCAUAUGUUAGCGAUAUUGUACAAACUUCAACCACGAUUUCAACCAAUUCACUACAAGAAUUUCAAGAGGAUGUUUCAGAAGUGUUUAUGGUGGAGCAAGAGACGGAAUCACCUGAAACAGCACCUCUUCCUAUCGAUGUACAGCAAGAAAAAUCAACGAUAGACGAUAGGUUGAGUUGGAGCAGUCAUGUCGACCAUGUUAUACAGAAAUUGUCAAAGUCACUCUUUGUACUAAGGAAUCUUAAACGAUCAAUCAGUGCAGAUACUUUAAAAUCCUGCUACUUCGCACUAUUUCACUCCCAUCUGCAAUAUGGUGUUAUGUUGUGGGGUAAUUCAUCUAAAGCAUAUAGUUUUUAUUCUUAAAAAAAAAGUAAUUCGCAUGAUGGUAGGUGCUGAAAUAUCGUGCUCACUGUCAACCCUACUUUAAGCAAUUGCGCAUUAUGCCAUUACCAUCCAUAUUCAUUUUCGUGACACUAUUGGAAAUUCAUAAAAAUAAAGCUAAUUUUGUUACAAACGACCUUGCUCACUCUUACAAUACCCGUGGAGCAAAAAAUAUUAGGACACCAUAUUGCAGAUUAGAGAUAUCAAAAAAAAUAGUCUACGUGUAGUUUUACAAUAUUCUUCCCGAAUCUACAAAAGCGCUUAACUACAUUAAUUUUAAAAAGAAUGUUAAGAAGCACAUGCUUGAACAUUGUUUCUACUCCGUGCGCGAAUAUUUAAACACUAAGAUGACUUUUGUUCCUAGA